rnacentral:rRNA from 1 species
GACGGAGGGGGCUAGCGUUGUUCGGAAUAACUGGGCGUAAAGGGCGCGUAGGCGGUCUUUUAAGUGAGGCGUGAAAGCCCUGGGCUUAACCCAGGAGGUGCGUUUCAGACUGAAAGACUUGAGUACGAGAGAGGAAAGUGGAAUUCCUAGUGUAGAGGUGAAAUUCGUAGAUAUUAGGAAGAACACCAGUGGCGAAGGCGGCUUUCUGGCUCGUAACUGACGCUGAGGCGCGAAAGCGUGGGGAGCAAACAGG